GGUGCCAAACCACACAUGCUAAAGCACGUGCCUCAAAAUUACUCCUCCUACUUUCAAAGCGGAACAAGCAUGUCCCAAAAUCAGCUUUUCGGGCUAUGAUCUCCUUCACUAUGGCUUCAUUUCUUCCUCCCGUACCUUCUGAAAUGUCCUUCACUAUGGUGCACGGGCUCUUUGCUUUAGGACUUCGGGCACUCGAUGAAUUGCCUCGAGAGAUGGCCCGCGCACCUGGACAGUUGGGCUUGUAGAUUUCCGAAUCCAAGCCCAUCCCCAGCUGAACCGAAGCACAAAAGCCCACUUUGCCGUUCUCUCUUCCCAGGCUUCGGAUUUCCCCCCGCCGUCGCCGUCGCGGCGGCAAACCCCAAAAAAUGGCGCCUCCUCCCCUAGACGACCUCACGCACCUGCUCGCCGAGGUGGCUUCCUGCCUCUCCCGCCCUCCCGGCGGCGCGGGCCCCUCCUCCGUGGCCGGCGACUCACUCUCCGCCUCCGUCUCCUCCCUCGCGGCUGCCCUCAACCCCCGCGCCGCCGCCCCUGCCUCCUCCGGAACCAGGGUCCUCGACGCCGCGCUCUCCCUCAUGUGCUUCGACCCACAGGAGGUGGAUAGGGCUCGCCUGGACUGCCUCGUCCGCACCGCAGUCUCCGCGCUCUCCGAUCCGACCUCGUGCCGAGUGGCCCGGACCGACGACCGCGCCGAGAUGCUCUGCGUCGGGAGCUCCGUCUCGCCCCGGGACUGCCGCGAGCUGGUCCGCUCUUGCGCCGCCCUCGUCGAGAAAUUGUGGGGCCGUGAUGCUGCGGGGCAUUCCUAUGACCUGUUGCAUGCUGCUGUGAAAACAGCCCUGUUAUCCCCUCGUUACCAGUGUCUCUUUCCUUCGCCAUAUUACAGAGAAGAUGGAGAAAGCAGUUGCGAGAUGGGUACCAUUUCUCUGGAUGUAACAACCCAUCCAUCUUAUCAAGUGCUUCCCAAUGAUGGCUCAAUCCCGCCGAGGGCCCUUUUGUGGCAUUACGACCCAUCAAUUCUGAAACAUGAUCUUUCAGAGAUGCUACGAGAAGCAAUCACAAGGCCUUUGCUUUGUAUGAGAAAAGAAUUACAUGAUCGGGUAGCAUGGCGUGUGAUUGUAAUAUGCUUAGUUUGCUCCCCACCAGCGUUCUUGGAGAUGCGAUCAUUAUUCCAUAUAUGGUUUCUUGCGACGGGUAUGGGUUCUGUGCUAGGACUUUGCACAGCAGUGGUAUCAUCAGUAUUAGAUAUUCUUCUCGAGCCUAUGGGAUGGGGAAUAUCCAUGGAACUGGGACAGAAAUUUCCCUUUACACAUGCUUAUUUCCCAAGCCAACAAAGGGACUUACUUGCCAUACUAACUGGAACCAUAUCAUGCAGACGAUUUUUGGAUCUUGUUUCUUGCAUAGAAGCUAUGGUUUUCUUGGGUAAAGCAAGCAGUGACAACUCUUCAUUGAAAAUACAAUCACAAACAUCAAAAGGGUCACACUUUCGCAUGAAACAACCAUCAAAGGGAUUGGUCAAAUUCAAAUACAGUUCUGCCUGGUUGACAAUUACGAACUUCCCUAACUGGUUCAUUUUUGCCAGUGCUCUACUAUUUCACCAGGAAGGUUCACAAGGUUAUUUAUCAGAAGUAUUAUCUGAGGAGAAAACUGCUGAAUCAAUAAGCGAUAUCAGUCUUGCUCAGAAGGCAGCAUUUUACCUUUCAUGGGUGUUAUGCCCUUCUAAUGUUGAUGAGUGCCAGAUGCUAGCUAACAAUAUGGUGGAGUUAUCACAUUCUUGGGCCAGGAACAACAAAAAGCGCCCAAGUAAUGCACACCAUAGCAGUACAGUAAAUCACCGGAGGAGACUGCGCGUACCCACAGUUGGGGAUACAGAGAAACUUCAUGCGUCAACCAACCCUGUCAGUUCCUUUAUUAGAGAUUUUGAUGAUCGCUGUGUGAAGUUUUGUCGCAUAACUGCUGUCAGUCAAGUGCAAGGUGCAGAACAAUUAGACGUCCCUCUCUCAUGCCCUAAUUUUCUGCAUUUACGGGUUCCUCUAGGGGUUCUGCUUGUGUCCUCUGCUUGUAUUAGUGAGCAAGACUGUAACGUGCUUCUGCACUACGCAAGCACUGGUCUGGUUCUGGAGUCAAAGGAAGUGCAGACAAAAAGGAAAGAUCAGGCUGGUAAUGAUGUUUUUUCAUCCAGUCGUGGAGGUUUUACUGAAAGAUCGGCUUUCAGUGGUGCAUGCCUCAUCUUUGGCUGGCUUGACAUUAUUGAGGAUAUGUCCGCAGUGAUCUUUGAAUGUGAAGAUACAUGUCGUCAUUUUGUCAGUCAACUCAGAACCAAGACAGGCCCAUACCUGCUGAAGUGUGUAAAUUUAUUUCUGAAUGAGGCGGGUCAUGAUAAAGAUUUUGUAAUCGAUCUUCGUGACAGAUUGUUAGACUGGAUUAAUGAAGGGCAGAGUUUUGAUGGUUGUGAGGCAUUCAAAGACGUUAUCGUUCAAAUGAACGCAAAAAUUCAGCCCUCUUCAUAGCAGUUAUCAGGGAUUUUAUGUAACUGUGAUUGUGUCCGGAUGGGUUCCUGGUCUCCUGGUGACUGUACUGCUGGAUGUGAACUGUGGAGUUAAAACAUAUCCAUUCAGCUCUUGAUUGCAGACCACUGAGAAGAAGGAAAAACUCAAACAAAGUUUAAGGAAACUUCAUAUAUUAUAUCAGACGCAAGAAAUGGAAUCAUAGUUUAAUUUGGUUUGUUAGUGCUAUUUGUGCCAUACAGCAGUUCCAGGUAAUUUAUUUCUGAAUUUAAAUUUCUUGAGUUAAUGUUUCCUCUUAAUUAUAUAGUAUUUCAAAUUUGUUACUCGGUGAUUGGAUAUGGUCAACUAAGACAUUGAUAUGUUUGCACAGCCUAUUUAGUAGACUUGUGACCACGCUGGAGAACUUUUUUAUGUAUGCUUCUCUUGUUACAUAUGUAAAGUAGAAAAAGUUAUGAAUGACAAUACUUACCUCCUGAUUAUAUUAUUAAGGUAUCUGGAUGUGAUGGACAAAA